UCUUGAAACUGCUUCAGCCACAUAGCU
rnacentral:sRNA from 1 species